rnacentral:rRNA from 1 species
AGAUUGAACGCUGGCGGCAUGCCUUACACAUGCAAGUCGAACGGCAGCACGGGAGCAAUCCUGGUGGCGAGUGGCGAACGGGUGAGUAAUAUAUCGGAACGUGCCCAGUAGUGGGGGAUAGCCCGGCGAAAGCCGGAUUAAUACCGCAUACGACCUG